CUUUCAGUUUCCCUUAUUUUUGACAAAAAUAUUUGCAAUGUAUCAGUUUCUUUUAAUUUAUUUUCUUUUUUAACUUUGUACAGGAAUGAGGAGAUUUUGAAUUGAAGAUUAUCUUCAACAUAUUUCGUUUUUCCAGUAUUGCAAAGAUGAAAAAGAUCAUCAGCUGCAUCUGCAUGAUAUAUUUCUCUCCAUCUGGGAACUGGCCAUUUGUACAAGCCAAACAAUUGGCUCAACUAGCUUUGAGUUGCUGUGCAAGGAACCAAAGUAGCCGACAAGACCUUGCAUCAGAGGUGUGGAUGUGGAGGGUGCUCGAACCAAUGAGAGCAUUUUGCUCAGCACCAGUCCAAUUUGGUUCUUAGGAGAAUGAACAGCCUCCUUUCUAUUUCUUUCGUCCUAUUUCGCUGCUAAUUCUGUUGCCUUUUAUCUAUUCAUUGACAUAACUGAAACUUCAUUCUCUUAAUUUAUAAAAAUACUAGGGGGAAAAAACUUGAGGUUUAUCAUGCUCGAAAUUAACUUUCAUUAGGAUACAUUUUCAUUUGGUACUUUAUUUGCUUAUGUUUGCCGGAAGUGAUGCAAGAUCCUCAUGUGGCAGCAGAUGGAUUUAGUUAUGAAGCAAAGGCUUUGACAGGCUGGCUGGAAAGCGGCUACAACACUUCACCAAUGUCAAUUGGGUGGUGGAAAAGUGCCAAUAGAGCAAAAGAAGAAAAAGGAUCUCUUGGGGUUAAUCCUGUUAAGAAAUAUGCAAAAAGCAUGGAUCUAUUUCUUAUUUUGACAUAUUGAAAUGGUUCCCCUGCACCUUUUUCGGCUAAAGGGUUGCAUUGAAGAAGUUGUUUCUGCUACAGACCUUUCUACAAGAAAAUGUUAAUACAGCCUAAUAGACUAUGCCAGAUUCUUUUUAUCAUGUGCUAUUGUAUUAUGCGACUUAAUGCAGCCUCAAAAUUCUAACUGGCACAAUUCAUUUAUGGAGCAUUGUUUAUGCA